rnacentral:rRNA from 1 species
UACGAAGGGGGCUAGCGUUGCUCGGAAUUACUGGGCGUAAAGCGCACGUAGGCGGCUCUUUAAGUCGGGGGUGAAAUCCUGGAGCUCAACUCCAGAACUGCCUUCGAUACUGGAGAGCUUGAGUUCGGGAGAGGUGAGUGGAACUGCGAGUGUAGAGGUGAAAUUCGUAGAUAUUCGCAAGAACACCAGUGGCGAAGGCGGCUCACUGGCCCGAUACUGACGCUGAGGUGCGAAAGUGUGGGGAGCGAACAGG